CGUGUUCAAAAAUCUUGCACAUGCAAUCCAAUACCAGGGUGAGAGAGCAGGUAGAUGUGGGCGCGUACUGCCCGACACCCUGGGGACGAGGUUGACUAAGUACCUAUCCACCGAGGGGUGCAUAUUGCCAUUGAUGAACACAUUAUUACUAUUACUCAUAAAUAUUCAUCAGGCAACCACGACAUUUCAUUGGUCCAUUCCAGCAACUCAACUGUGUGAAAGUUUUUACUAUUUCCCCCGCGUCUUCGUACUCGCGCGUGGCGUGUAAAAACCAUGGAGGUACUAUCACACCUGGGUCGCAGCCUGAGAUUUGUUCCAGUACUGUGAUAUAUAUUUACCAACGAUGCACGCGCUUUAGUAGCGUACCGUGGAGAUCACCAGUGAGGACAGCUGUGCUAGUCUGUAACGGCGUACAUCAAAAUGGCGACCGGUGGUGCUCGCUCUGCGAUUUUAACCGGGGAGGAACACAAUAAUAACAAAUCCAGUGUUCCAGUGAGCAAAAACAUGUGGUUCUGGAUCUGGUUCUGGUGGAAUACUGCAUAAUCUUUCCAGCAGGGAUGUAAUAUGCAGGCGCGAGGUGACUAUUUAUGAAAUGGGCCCCUCCGAUAAUGUCAUCUAUGUUAAGAGAUUGAAGUUUCAAAUGGGAAUGGACAAAUGAAAUUCCGCAGCUGCCUGAUCAAUAUUUUUGAGGUAAAGUCAACAAAUAUAUCAUGUGUUAGCGGAGGAAAUAGUGAAAACAAAUGAUCCCCAAUCCCAGUUGGGAGAUAAUAUAGAAAUAUGGAAUGCUUUCGAGUGGUGUAGUAAAAUACUAGACUCCCGAGGAUCACCAUUUUAAAAAAUAGAAUGCUCCACGGAUCACCGAGGGAGGUUAGUUUUACUUCACCACGAGAUAAAGCAUUCAAUAUUUGUUUUAUAACACUUCACCCACAGACUCUGCUUGAUUUUAAUAUUUAAAGUUAUUUCCCUUUCCCCAUGGACCGGCGCGCGCAGACGUAUAGUACGUUUUGCCAAUCAAGCUCUAUCUGUGGUUGACGCGUUAUAAUCCCAACCAUCCAACACUUCGGGAUCAUAAGUUUUCAAUAUUUUCCCACAACACCAUGUUGUAUUUGUAUAACAUUAGUCAGUUGGCAUGUGGUCGUAUCGUGAGCGACUGGUCCAAAGCAUCAAACAACUUGGUAGAUAGACUCUUAUAGCCUUAGAGAAGAUAUUUACCUGAAAUUAAUUUGGGACGGGUGCCUUGUUUGCACUUACCUUGUAAUAUAUUUAUUCCCAUAUUUGGGUAUAUUUUUAUUUUAUCAAAUUUUUGAAAAGUGUAUUUUGGAGAUUCUACUUACUGAAAGGUCCAGUCCAUCAUAAUCUGUGCAUUUUGUUCUUUCCAAGCAACAAAAGUCCUCAAAAUCUAAAGAAAGGUUGAUGAAUAACUUGACUGACGAUAAUUUCACAGGGGGUUUAGUUCCCUUACUAUUUUUCAACCAAGUAUGUUUUUCAACAAUUAUUACGUCAGUUGGUUUUGAUAUGUGUAAAUGAUGUUAUUAAAGCCAAAUAAACAUGUUCCAAAGCAUAUGAGCGACCGAAUGAUUACGAGGACAAUAGAUUGUGCGAAAUAACUUUGUCCUUAGAAAUCAAGUAUAGUCUUUCCAAACCACAGCAUUGAUGAGCAUCAAAUUCAUAAAGUUACUUACUGGCACCGUUAUCCUAACAAAAAACUGAUAACAUCUUGAUAUUUAUAGCCCCCCCCCGAAACAAGAUAAAUAAAUUGGGCGUAAAAUUAUGCAAAGGGUUGCUUUAAGUGGAGGGGGGGGGGGACCUGAACAAAAUCAAGGAAUCCCAAAAAUAAAGAUCUUUGUUGUUUAAAGUGAUCAUGUCCUAGUCAAAACGUUUUCUUACAAAUAAUUUUGUGAAUUUCCUUGAACUUGUCCAAGUCUCCCCCUUUAGGCAACCCUUCACCUACUUCCCAACCCCCCCCCCCCCCCCAAUUUACGGACACCUCAUUUUCUAUGUUUUUGCUAUCUGGGCUAAAUAUCACAAUGUUAUCAUUUUUUUUCCAUACAGUUUUAAUGGGUACCAUCUUGAUAAUUUGACGCUCUAACUAUUGACGUUUUACAAGUUUCAAACCAGCUGUGAUGUGCACGGUGCAUUUGAGAUAUUUGUUGUUGUUGCUGAACCUUUUCAUACAUUACCGUCAAUUCCACUAACUGUCAAAUAACGUAUACUGUAUUAUCCAACGCUAGAAAAAAUUUUUUGUGAGUGUUGUGUAUUUUAACCACUAUUUUUUUUCUAAAAGGGAAUUCAUUCAUUUAAUCUUCUCAGGGUUUUUCGAUCAGCGGCCAUCUUCUUGACAGUCCCAUCGUUUUGUUUAAUCUUCAAAUUACAGGAGAUCGUAAACAAGGUGUGAAAGACAUUGGGGUCGUAUGUAUAAAACCUAGCAUUCGCUUUUACCACCCUUUGAAGCAUUUACUUGCAUUCCGGGAAUCUCUGUCUGUCGGUCUUCGAUUAACUCCAGAACCGGGCGCUGUAUGAAGUGGAAAAUCGGCGGUGUGUGUUGCUAAGGACACCAGAAUAUGCAGUGCCCAAGUUUGAAGUUCUUUGGACGGGCGGUUCUCGAAAAAGCUGCAAAAAAAAGCGGAAAAUUGGCACCAAUUUCUCCUCAUAAAACAUUUUAGCCUGUGCAAAGCAAGUGCAAAUGGCGCCACUGAGUUGACGUCACAAUAACACUACUUGCGUAAAGUUUGGUAUACAAAAGAAACGUUUAUACCGUACAUGUAAAACGUGCGUUUGGAAUCUCUGUGUGUCUGUCUGUAACGUCGAUCAUCUCCAUAACCUGGCGCUGUAUGAAGUUGAAAAUCGGCGGGUAUAAAUGCUCGGGACCACAGAAUGUGCAGUGCCAAAUUUGAAGUUGUUUGGAUGAGCGGUUUUCGAAAAAGUUGCAAAAAUGCAAUAUUUUCUGAGGCAAACGUGGCAAUAUAGCCUAGACCACCUCGCGCUGGCGUCUUUUUCAAUUGCAAACGUCAUGUCUGAGCUAAGGUGCGCGUGCUCAAUGCAAUGUGAUGCAACAAAGGACGGGUACAUCUCAUUGAAAGGCGAUACCAUUUUCUAGAAUGAGUUGAAUAUUACUGGAUACCAUGUUUCCGUAUGUACACGUACGUGAGUGGCUGCAUUGGCACAUGCAUUUUGCAGUCGACUUUAGGCGGUCGACUCGGUAACCUUGACUGUUCAUUGGGGGUGAAUUCGAUUAACUCCAGAACCGGGCGCUGUAUGAAGUGGAAAAUCGGCGGUGUGUGUUGCUAAGGACACCAGAAUUGUGUAAGGAGAUGAGGAUACGUACAAAGUGUGCAUUCAUCUGUAAGUGUACGUUCAACCUGUGAAAACAACACCAUUUGAAUCGUGUGCGUUUUCUGCCCCUUCCGAAAAGGCACAUUUUCAAUGGGCUCUACACUUAGUUUGUAUGAAUGAAUUUAAAGCAAAUGCUUUUACUGGCAAACAUUUGCUUUUGCUUUUACUGGAAAGCAAAUGCUUUUUUACUGAAAAGCAAAUGCUUUUGCUUUUACUGCAAAGCAUUUGCUCAAAAGAUUUCCUUUUGUCGCGAUCAUUCGUCCAAGGAAAUUGGUUUGAUAUUUAAAUACAAAAAGCUUCAAACAAUUACAGUGAUUUGUAAAUGUUUGAAAUUAAAAGAAAUUGAAUGUAAUUGGCAACAUAAUAAUAAUAAUAAUAAUAAUAAUAAUGGAGUCUACCAACAAUUAGGUACUCAAGGUGCUGGAAAUUAUGUCAACUAUUAAAGAAAGGUAAAUAAAGUUUAUGAGAAUUAUGAGACCCAUUAUGCUGCGCCGCACAUUAAAAUCCCAAGCGUUUGUUCACAUCAGUGCGCGGGAUUUUAUAGCAUGUUUGACGGCACCCGGUAGAAAGAAAUAUUAUUUUAAUGGCAAUUUAAACCCGUUGUAAAGUAAAAAAAAAAAAAAAAAGUCUGCCAAAGCACAAAUACAGCAGACUUGUUCCAUCUUUUGUUGUUUUGGAAACUGAUUUCUUAUCUUUUUCCUUGAAAGUCCUUAUUUAAAUUAUUAUCUGAUUAGGUAAUCAGACACUGAUACAAAUUAAUAAGUAUACAAUAAAUUUAGGAUAUGAGUCAAUCAAACUUUGGCAUAAAUGCUUUAAAAAAUGAAGUGAAUUGUGAUAGGAAACGAUUUCAUUUGACUUUUUAAAUUAUGUAUGUGUAUAACCUGAAGCUGAUUUAUGUUUAUUAGAUGUAUGUUGGAAAUAAAUUUUAAUGAUUAAAUAUAGGUUUCCCCAGCCAAUUUUGCAAAAGAAAGCAUGCGAAUUCAUCUUGAUAGUGGCCAAUUUGAAGCGAAGUAGUGCCCUGCUGUCAUUCCCGUAGUUCUUGUUAGAUAUCAGGCGUUCAAAUUCGUUUAUAGACCUGACAUUUUCAUGUUUACAUAUCCUAAAUUGAAGUUAUGUUAUUCGGUUUAAGUGAUCAUUCAAUUUAGCAGUUGGUUUGGUUGAGGAUUAUUUGCAUGAGAUUAAUGUUUUCGUUUUCAUUUCCGUGCAUUCUAUUUAAGACAUAUGGCAUUCAAAAUAAAAGCAAUACGAUACAAGUCUUUUAA
rnacentral:lncRNA from 1 species